rnacentral:rRNA from 1 species
GGUUAAGUGAAUAAGGGCGCACGGUGGAUGCCUUGGCACUAGGAGCCGAUGAAGGACGGGACUAACACCGAUAUGCUUUGGGGAGCUGUACGUAAGCUAUGAUCCAGAGAUUUCCGAAUGGGGGAACCCAACAUCUUUAAUAGGAUGUUACGAUUGUGUGAAUACAUAGCACAUUCGAGGUAGACGCAGAGAACUGAAACAUCUAAGUACCUGCAGGAAGAGAAAGAAAAUUCGAUUCCCUGAGUAGCGGCGAGCGAAACGGGAAAAGCCCAAACCAGCAAGCUUGCUUGUUGGGGUUGUAGGACUCCAAUAUGGUAGUUCUUUCAGAUAGUCGAAUGACUUGGAAAAGUCAGUCAAAGAGGGUAAAAACCCCGUAGACGAAAUGUGGAAGACACCUAGGAGGAUCCUGAGUACGGCGGAACACGAGAAAUUCCGUCGGAAUCCGGGAGGACCAUCUCCCAAGGCUAAAUACUCCCUAGUGACCGAUAGUGAACCAGUACCGUGAGGGAAAGGUGAAAAGCACCCCGGAAGGGGAGUGAAAUAGAACCUGAAACCGUGUGCCUACAACAAGUCAAAGCCCGUUAAUGGGUGAUGGCGUGCCUUUUGUAGAAUGAACCGGCGAGUUACGAUUGCAUGCGAGGUUAAGUUGAAGAGACGGAGCCGCAGCGAAAGCGAGUCUGAAUAGGGCGUUUGAGUAUGUAGUCGUAGACCCGAAACCAUGUGAUCUACCCAUGUCCAGGUUGAAGGUGCGGUAAAACGCACUGGAGGACCGAACCCACGUACGUUGAAAAGUGCGGGGAUGAGGUGUGGGUAGCGGAGAAAUUCCAAACGAACUUGGAGAUAGCUGGUUCUCUCCGAAAUAGCUUUAGGGCUAGCCUCGGAAUUGAGAAUGAUGGAGGUAGAGCACUGUUUGGACUAGGGGCCCAUCUCGGGUUACCGAAUUCAGAUAAACUCCGAAUGCCAUUCAUUCAUAUCCGGGAGUCAGACUGUGAGUGAUAAGAUCCAUAGUCGAAAGGGAAACAGCCCAGACCACCAGCUAAGGUCCCAAAAUAUAUGUUAAGUGGAAAAGGAUGUGGGGUUGCACAGACAACUAGGAUGUUGGCUUAGAAGCAGCCAUNNNNNNNNNNNNNNNNNNNNNNNNNNNNNNNNNNNNNNNNNNNNNNNNNNNNNNNNNNNNNNNNNNNNNNNNNNNNNNNNNNNNNNNNNNNAGCCACCAUUUAAAGAGUGCGUAAUAGCUCACUAGUCGAGUGACCCUGCGCCGAAAAUGUACCGGGGCUAAACAUAUUACCGAAGCUGUGGAGUACACCUUUAGGUGUAUUGGUAGGAGAGCGUUCUAAGGGCGUUGAAGGCAGAUCGUGAGGACUGCUGGAGCGCUUAGAAGUGAGAAUGCCGGUAUGAGUAGCGAAAGACAGGUGAGAAUCCUGUCCACCGAAUGACUAAGGUUUCCUGGGGAAGGCUCGUCCGCCCAGGGUUAGUCGGGACCUAAGCCGAGGCCGACAGGCGUAGGCGAUGGAUAACAGGUUGAUAUUCCUGUACCCGUUGUUUUUGUUUGAGCAAUGGAGGGACGCAGGAGGCUAAGGAAUGCAGACGAUCGGAAAUGUCUGUCCAAGCAGUAAGUCUGAAGAGGAGUCAAAUGCUUCUUUUCUUAAGGACAAGCUGUGAUGGGGAGGGAAAUAAUAGUACCGAAGUUCCUGAUGUCACACUGCCGAGAAAAGCUUCUAGUGAGAAAACAGCGGCCCGUACCGCAAACCGACACAGGUAGUCGAGGAGAGAAUCCUAAGGUGAGCGAGAGAACUCUCGUUAAGGAACUCGGCAAAAUGACCCCGUAACUUCGGGAGAAGGGGUGCUGAUCAUACGAUCAGCCGCAGUGAAUAGGCCCAAGCGACUGUUUAUCAAAAACACAGGUCUCUGCAAAAUCGUAAGAUGAAGUAUAGGGGCUGACGCCUGCCCGGUGCUGGAAGGUUAAGAGGAGUGCUUAGCGCAAGCGAAGGUACGAAUUGAAGCCCCAGUAAACGGCGGCCGUAACUAUAACGGUCCUAAGGUAGCGAAAUUCCUUGUCGGGUAAGUUCCGACCCGCACGAAAGGCGUAACGAUUUGGGCACUGUCUCAACGAGAGACUCGGUGAAAUUUUAGUACCUGUGAAGAUGCAGGUUACCCGCGACAGGACGGAAAGACCCCAUGGAGCUUUACUGUAGUUUGAUAUUGAGUGUCUGUACCGCAUGUACAGGAUAGGUAGGAGCCGUAGAAAUCGGAACGCUAGUUUCGAUGGAGGCGCUGGUGGGAUACUACCCCUGCGUUAUGGCCACUCUAACCCGCACCACUAAUCGUGGUGGGAGACAGUGUCAGAUGGGCAGUUUGACUGGGGCGGUCGCCUCCUAAAAGGUAACGGAGGCGCCCAAAGGUUCCCUCAGAAUGGUUGGAAAUCAUUCGAAGAGUGUAAAGGCAGAAGGGAGCUUGACUGCGAGACCAACAAGUCGAGCAGGGACGAAAGUCGGGCUUAGUGAUCCGGUGGUUCCGCAUGGAAGGGCCAUCGCUCAACGGAUAAAAGCUACCCUGGGGAUAACAGGCUUAUCUCCCCCAAGAGUCCACAUCGACGGGGAGGUUUGGCACCUCGAUGUCGGCUCGUCGCAUCCUGGGGCUGUAGUCGGUCCCAAGGGUUGGGCUGUUCGCCCAUUAAAGCGGCACGCGAGCUGGGUUCAGAACGUCGUGAGACAGUUCGGUCCCUAUCCGUCGCGGGCGUUGGAAAUUUGAGAGGAGCUGUCCUUAGUACGAGAGGACCGGGAUGGACUUACCGCUGGUGUACCAGUUGUUCUGCCAAGGGCAUUGCUGGGUAGCUAUGUAGGGAAGGGAUAAACGCUGAAAGCAUCUAAGUGUGAAGCCCACCUCAAGAUGAGAUUUCCCAUUUCUUUAAGAAAGUAAGAUCCCUGAGAGAUGAUCAGGUAGAUAGGUCAGGAGUGGAAGUACAGUGAUGUAUGGAGCGGACUGAUACUAAUCGAUCGAGGACUUAACCAA